GCCGCUGUAGCCCAACUGGCAGAGGCGUCUGGUUUAGGUCCAGAAGGUUGCAGGUUCGACUCCUGUCAGCGGCACAA
rnacentral:tRNA from 1 species